rnacentral:rRNA from 1 species
GUUUGAUCCUGGCUCAAAUUGAACGCUGGCGGCAGGCCUAACACAUGCAAGUCGAACGGUAAAGCAGCUUGCUGCUUACGAGUGGCGGACGGGUGAGUAAUGUCUGGGAAACUGCCUGAUGGAGGGGGAUAACUACUGGAAACGGUAGCUAAUACCGCAUAACGUCGCAAGACCAAAGAGGUUAGUCUUGCCAUCGGAUGUGCCCAGAUGGGAUUAGCUAGUAGGUGGGGUAACGGCUCACCUAGGCGACGAUCCCUAGCUGGUCUGAGAGGAUGACCAGCCACACUGGAACUGAGACACGGUCCAGACUCCUACGGGAGGCAGCAGUGGGGAAUAUUGCACAAUGGGCGCAAGCCUGAUGCAGCCAUGCCGCGUGUAUGAAGAAGGCCUUCGGGUUGUAAAGUACUUUCAGCGGGGAGGAAGGGAGUAAAGUAAUCUUUGCUCUUGACGUUACCCGCAGAAGAAGCACCGGCUAACUCCGUGCCAGCAGCCGCGGUAAUACGGAGGGUGCAAGCGUUAAUCGGAAUUACUGGGCGUAAAGCGCACGCAGGCGGUUUGUUAAGUCAGAUGUGAAAUCCCCGGGCUCAACCUGGGAACUGCAUCUGAUACUGGCAAGCUUGAGUCUCGUAGAGGGGGGUAGAAUUCCAGGUGUAGCGGUGAAAUGCGUAGAGAUCUGGAGGAAUACCGGUGGCGAAGGCGGCCCCCUGGACGAGACUGACGCUCAGGUGCGAAAGCGUGGGGAGCAAAC